ensembl:lncRNA
GGGAGACAGGAUGUGUGUGAUGUGUGUGGCAGACUGGGAAGUGUUUCUCCUGCUACAUGCUGAAAUUGAGUUUAAUUUUUUUUUUUAGGUGUCCUGGAUGAAAUAGUUGCCUUUACUGUUUUAAUGGCUGCUCUGCUUCUUUUCCUUCUAAUUACUUGCCCACGCCAGAGCGUGUUGCUCUUGUACAGUCAUCACUGCAGAUUCUUUGGAGACCCCAAAAGAGCUGAAUAAAAGCUCCUAAGGCUAACAAUUUGCUCAGUGAGCAGUGGAACUUGUGAAUCCAGGCUUCCUGUGCCCCUGCAGUGUGGGUGCUUUAGUGGCCAAUAACACCGAUGUCUCUGAAAGGGGCUGCACACAUGAUGGCUGAUAAAAAGCUUCUCUGAUGGCUGAUAAAAGAAAUCUUUGGAACAUAUUCCCUCAAAAAGCUCAGGGUGGGUGAUUCUGAAAGCAAUUCUGAAGAAGAAGUCCCUUGGAAAUCUGUGGAUAUAUUCUCACCCCAUGGACAUGCAAAGCAGGUCUGGAUUCCCAGUGGGUCUGAGUCAAAAGCUCACAAAAUCAUUCUGAGCUUUCCCUGUGACUCCAGUUGUCUUUGGCUCAUGUUCAGUGAGUGGGGAGUCAGUUGACUUGUAAUUCUGACCCCAACUUAUUUUUAUUUAUUAUGAGUGGACACCAGCUGCUUCUUUGUUGUCUGAAAUAUACUGUGUGCCCUUGAACUUUGACAUCUUCCUUCCAAGAGGAUGAUUUAGGCUUUGUCCAGGGUUUGCCAAAGCAGCAGGCUGCCCCAUACUUUUGGACUUCCGACAGACCACGAGGGACCAAUCCCCCACCUCCCUUUGGAGUGGUGAAUAAAGGGAAAUAAGGAAAACA